GGCAGGUCCUACAGGCCCUAGUUUCUACCUUCUUAACAACACUAUCAACAAGGCAGGUCCUACAGGCCCUGGUUUCUACCUUCUUAACAACACUAUCAACAAGGCAGGUCCUACAGGCCCUAGUUUCUACCUUCUUAACAACACUAUCGACAAGGCAGGUCCUACAGGCCCUAGUUUCUACCUUCUUAACAACACUAUCAACAAGGCAGGUCCUACAGGCCCUAGUUUCUACCUUCUUAACAACACUAUCAACAAGGCAGGUCCUACAGGCCCUAGUUUCUACCUUCUUAACAACACUAUCGACAAGGCAGGUCCUACAGGCCCUAGUUUCUACCUUCUUAACAACACUAUCAACA